UUUCAUCUCAAAAAAAAAAAAAAAAAAAACAAAAAAGGAUCCUCAGGGCUGCCAACCUUAUAGUAGAAGUUGAGGUGGUAGUGGAUUUCUCCUACACAA
ensembl:snoRNA